AAGUCCCCUAGUGAGAAUCUUCUGGCUUGGCAGAGUGGUGCUAAAAACAUCCUGUGUAACGUCAACAAUGACAAAUCUGUCAAGUAGAGCAAUGACUGAGGUCUUGGGGAAAUCCACCCAAUGACUGAGGUCUUGGGGAAAUCCACCCAAUGACUGAGGUCUUGGGGAAAUCCACCCAAUGACUGAGGUCUUGGGGAAAUCCACCCAAUGACUGAGGUCUUGGGGAAAUCCACCCAAUGACUGAGGUCUUGGGGAAAUCCACCCAAUGACUGAGGUCUUGGGGAAAUCCACCCAAUGACUGAGGUCUUGGGGAAAUCCACCCAAUGACUGAGGUCUUGGGGAAAUCCACCCAAUGACUGAGGUCUUGGGGAAAUCCACCCAAUGACUGAGGUCUUGGGGAAAUCCACCCAAUGACUGAGGUCUUGGGGAAAUCCACCCAAUGACUGAGGUCUUGGGGAAAUCCACCCAAUGACUGAGGUCUUGGGGAAAUCCACCCAAUGACUGAGGUCUUGGGGAAAUCCACCCAAUGACUGAGGUCUUGGGGAAAUCCACCCAAUGACUGAGGUCUUGGGGAAAUCCACCCAAUGACUGAGGUCUUGGGGAAAUCCACCCAAUGACUGAGGUCUUGGGGAAAUCCACCCAAUGACUGAGGUCUUGGGGAAAUCCACCCAAUGACUGAGGUCUUGGGGAAAUCCACCCAAUGACUGAGGUCUUGGGGAAAUCCACCCAAUGACUGAGGUCUUGGGGAAAUCCACCCAAUGACUGAGGUCUUGGGGAAAUCCACCUAAUGACUGAGGUUUUGGGAUAAUCCACCCAAUGACAGGUCUUGGGAAUAUCCACCCAUUCAUUCAGAUGAUCAUUAAUAUGUGAUACUGAUCGAUUUGUUGAAUGCUGAUAUUGCUGGCCAGUAUUAGGGCUGUAGCCUCCAUCCAUUUUGAUUUUGUUUACAGUGCUACAGUAUAUUUAGUUUUAACAAUAAACGAGUUUUAACAAAAACUAGUUUCUGGUUACAUUCACCUGUUUAAACACACAGACAGAAGUGAUAACAGUGAGCUGGUAAGGAAAGUUGUUUUGAACAGGAAAUCGUUUGAGUAAUAUAUUUUAUGUUUUUUAGAAGAGAUUCUAGAAUGCAAUGCAUCAAGAGACCUCACUGAGUUUUGUAUGUAUUGUAAAGUUCAUCGGUAUAUUUUGCUUGUUAUUUAUUGUUCAAGUCAAUAAAACAAUCUUAUGUUUUAAAAUA